UGGUUCUGGCAUCGAUGAAGAACGCAGCGAAAUGCGAUAAGUAGUGUGAAUUGCAGAAUUCAGUGAAUCAUCGAAUCUUUGAACGCACAUUGCGCCCCUUGGUAUUCCAUGGGGCAUGCCUGUUCGAGCGUCAUU
rnacentral:rRNA from 1 species